rnacentral:rRNA from 1 species
CAGCAGUCGUUAGAACGUUUUUUCGGGGAGAUGAAUACUCUUAAGUUGGGCAUCAGGGACAGAUUCACCUGGACCCUUUUGCGAAGUAAAAACGUGUUUUGUGGGAUAACAAACCUAAUAAGUUGGGCACCAGGCUCGUCUAAAAACAUUUCUCUUUUUUUCUGGUAUCCUCCUCGUGCCCGAGCGGAGGAGAGGGAGAGCGGGUUCAGGAGCAGCGACGGCGGCGGUGGUGGUGGGUGCGACACCGUUAGAGGCCGCUCGAGGCCGCGGCGUGUUGUGCGGGGUCUCGAGGGGUGCCAGGCGCAGAGGGAGGGGAGCCCGGUCUAAGACGCGAGGGCUGGAGAUGGCGGGCCAGCGUUGCGGUGGGGACACCGAUCCCAAACCCCGUCCCGAAGUGGCGGCGCAGAGGCCGCCGGGGCCCAAGCAGGGAGAAGGAUGGACCAGCCCUAGGUGGUGGGGAUGUGGAGUGGAAGCUACGGUACCCUCAAGGGGUAGGUGGUACCAGCAGCGGCAGUUCCCGAAGAAGUGCUUCUACACUUCCUGCGGUACCUGGACGUCGAGGAAAAGAGGAGGUGGUGCCUGCGGCGGAGUGGGAAAGUUCGGCGGUCCGUGGGAUGUUUGCCCAGCCGGAUGUCGAGGAGGCGAGGAGACGGUAGAACUCUACGUGGACCUAGACCCGCUAAAGUCCCGGAAGUACCGAAAUCUUAGCCGGAGAGCAAGCCCUAGUCAAACCUAGAUCCUGUUCGGUUGGUACGACGACGCGGUUCGAGGAGAACUAUAUCAAAUGUACUUACGAUAGGACCUCUUCCGUUUAUAGUCCUCGUUUAUUUUAGUUAGGGACAUGUUUAUUUUUGUGAGGGACGUUAGAUAGUAAAAAAACUCCUUAAUCGGUGUAAUCUCAUCAACUAUGUAACCUACUCAUAAGUCUUCCACGUCAGUUAAACAGGAAACCGUAGAUCGGGAGGACAACCAUAUUAUUACGUUUAACGGAAAAAAAAAUUUUUUAACCAGGAAGUAAAGAAAAGAAGCUCAAUAGACACAUAGAAAAUUCGAAAACGAUCCGCUCCUUUCCACCUGGUUCAUCAGAUCGUCUUGGUUAACGUAAAAACCCCAUAACCGAAGUCUAACCUCACCCUUCCAUACCUAUACACAAGAAAGGUGUUCUUCUUGUUACUUAUGAUGAUGUUAGAAAAGAUCGUACCAAACAAGAGUCGGUGCACUCAAAAUAUUAGGAAGAUUUUGUCAGUGAAGGAAAGUAUACUUACGUGAAAAUCGUCUACUAUAAGACUGACCAGACGAUAUAAAACAAGUACUUCUGCAAGUACAAAUGAGGGACAAGUUAAGUUCAGACUUUCUAAGUAUAAACCCAUCUGUCCAAAGUGACUAACUUUUAUAAACUCUACGAGAAAAACUACAUACCGUUAUACGAUAGAGUUUAUACCAUCUGCUCCUUAUGCCCGAGAAAACUUCUAUUUAUUUGAUCUAUUUUUUCUUAACUUUAUCGGUUCGUUCAAAGUAACGUACAAUUAAUAUACCAGACGACAUGACUUGGAAAAAGACGUUAAAAGAAUAAACAAGACGAACUUUUUCGAUUGUGACUAGAAAACGAUGCAAAACACAAUUACUCAUUUACAAAACAUGUCUUUUAGUCACGAUCUCUAAUCUUAACGGAGUAUAUAUUAUGAGGUAGACAGAGUAAUAUAUUCUGUAAAAAAGUGCUCCAUCAUGGUUUAUACGGAAAUACACGAAAGAAGUUGUUCAGUUUACACACUGACUGGAGGUGGGUGGAGGGGUAAGAGUUGUUCGUGGUCCUGCACUGAAGCCAAGACGGUUCAUCCAAAAUUAUUUGUUUAGGAAGGAUUUAAUACUCGACAAAAGAAUGACUCGUUUGUCUUACGGGUUGUAAGGUUAAACACUACAAUUCCGAUUGUUCUCUACGUAUAUAGUAUAAAUUGUAUGAUAGACGUGAGAAGGAUUAAAUCAAAAAAAAACGAACAGGUCUUUCUUAUUUAACCACAAACUAAACUGAUGUUGGGAUGCUACAAACGAGACUUUCCGUACAUGAAAUUUUUUUCUGUACUACACGUAAACGUAUCAAACUGUUUAAGGCUAGUUACUUGACAUAAAACAAAAGACAAAAGUAACAUUGUAGUUGGAAUGCACCAAGAAGAAUAGUUACAAACUUGACUUCAAUAUGUUAUCUCCCGUACAUGAACUAACAAAAUCACAGUUAUAUAAGUCUUCUGUACCUAGGUAGUGUCUUCCUCAUCUCCUUCUGGUACCUUUCCUCCUCAAUGAUCCUCGUCUUAUGACCCUCCUCCACAACAGCGGUCGGAGUGCAACUACACGCCAUGAACGCGGAGAGACGAAGUACACCUGUGUCCGUGGUUUGAUCUUGAAAAGGUACAACAAUAAACCACAAAUCUUUCACAAAUAGACAUUCGAUGUAAUUAUGUGAUAUAUCAUCAGGGUGUUGCAAAACGUAUACUUAUCAACAUCUUCUUUGUACUAUUGUCCAAAGAAAACAACGAUUGCACAUCUCAAUGACAUGUUUACGUAAAAACGAUGUCUAAAUGCCCAGUAAUAAAUCGAUAAAGCCAAGGAGGAAUACUUAUCUAAAAAGAUAGAUAUACCGCCUUCUAUUAUAUCUGGAGAUAAACAUUUGUAGGUAUAUCAAACACCUUUUACCUUUUGGAAUGAAAAAAACAAUAGAAAUACUUUUAUGAUAAUAGAGAAAAAUCGGGAAAUGAUAAUGAAGGUUUUCUCAAGAAAAAUCACUGUACGUUGAAAGAGGAACUACUCGUUACUAGACCAAUAGAACUAUUUCUGACG